UACAGAGGUCUCAAGCGUUGUUCGGAUUCAUUGGGCGUAAAGGGUGCGUAGGUGGCGCCAUAAGUCGGGUGUGAAAUCUCGGGGCUUAACUCCGAAACUGCAUUCGAUACUGUGGUGCUUGAGGACUGGAGAGGAGACUGGAAUUCAUGGUGUAGCAGUGAAAUGCGUAGAGAUCAUGAGGAAGACCAGUGGCGAAGGCGGGUCUCUGGACAGUUCCUGACGCUAACACGCGAAAGCUAGGGGAGCGAACGGG
rnacentral:rRNA from 1 species